AACAUAGGAACACCACCUGUACACAAAGAACCACGCUCUAUACAUACCACGCACAAUCUAUAUGCGUACACUGCAUAACCCCUCUUCGCAAUAUAGCUAGGUAAACAAGAGCGGUCUAGGUCUUUGAGAUGAAUAGCAAAGGAAUCGGAAUAAUUGCUAUGCUUUGCCAGUGAAAUUCUUCGCGUGCAUACGGCGUGGAAUCCUGACAAAAGUAAAGAAGGGAGAAUGACAGGAUUAGAUGUAGAUGUUUUCCUAGGAGAUUUGAAAACCAGAACCACUCCCCGUAUGUGGUGAUGAGGAUAGACGAAAAUACCCAAAUUCAGAAGUAAUUUUGGUUCAGAAAACCAUAUAUUAAGGUCACACAAAGAAAAAGAGCGACCUAAAAGGAAGCGAUCACAACCCCG